UGGAGCGAUUUACCCUCAAUGCUGACUGCCAUGAAACUAGACCAUUAUAUUCCUGUCUUUAACCAGCACGAAAUUGACUUGGGCAUAUUUUCCACAUUGAAUGACCGAGAUUUGAUCCAUAUUGGGAUUACUGCCUUUGGGGCUCGAAAGAAGAUACUGCUGGCAAUAUCUGAACUGAAAAAAGCAAAUUCGACAUUUUCGGCUGCCCCAGGAGCUGAACGAAAGAACAGCAGUUCACGUUCGCACUCAAAUCAAAACAGUCCCACUUGGUAGACGGAAGUGGCUACCAGAAACGAAUUUGUUGGAUUUGCAAUGGUUGCCUGUCGUAGUUCUAGUUGAUUUAUUGCAAUAUUUAUUUAUUUAUUUCC
rnacentral:lncRNA from 1 species